GACGUAGGAGGCGAGCGAUGACCAGAAUUAUUGGGCGUAAAGGGCGUGUAGGUGGGACAAUCAGACAGUAGUAAAAGUGAGCGGCUCAACCGCGCAAAGCCUACUGAAACUGUUGCACUGGAGUCCAGGAGAGGAAAGUGGAAUUCCCGGAGUAGCGGUGGAAUGCGUAGAUAUCGGGAGGAACACCAGUGGCGAAAGCGACUUUCUGGCCUGGGACUGACACUGAGGCGCGAAAGCGUGGGUAGCAAACAGG
rnacentral:rRNA from 1 species